UACGUAGGGUGCAAGCGUUAAUCGGAAUUACUGGGCGUAAAGCGUGCGCAGGCGGUUAUGCAAGACAGAUGUGAAAUCCCCGGGCUCAACCUGGGAACUGCAUUUGUGACUGCAUGACUGGAGUACGGCAGAGGGGGAUGGAAUUCCGCGUGUAGCAGUGAAAUGCGUAGAGAUGUGGAGGAACACCGAUGGCGAAGGCAGCCCCCUGGGUCAAGAUUGACGCUCAUGCACGAAAGCGUGGGGAGCAAACAGG
rnacentral:rRNA from 1 species